CAUAUGAGAUAUGCCUAUUUCAA
rnacentral:siRNA from 1 species